rnacentral:sRNA from 1 species
ACCAGCGCUGGCUUUGAGCCAGCGCUGGUUAUAUAUAUAUAUAUAUAUAUAAACUGGU